GAUGAAGAACGCAGCGAAAUGCGAUAAGUAAUGCGAAUUGCAGAAUUCCGUGAGUCAUCGAAUCUUUGAACGCACAUUGCGCCCGCUGGUAUUCCGGCGGGCAUGCCUGUUCGAGCGUCAUUUCAACCCUCAAGCCCCCAGGUUUGGUGUUGGGGAUCGGCUCUGCCCUUCUGGGCGGUGCCGCCCCCGAAAUACAUUGGCGGUCUCGCUGCAGCCUCCAUUGCGUAGUAGCUAACACCUCGCAACUGGAACGCGGCGCGGCCAUGCCGUAAAACCCCAACUUCUGAAUGUUGACCUCGGAUCAGGUAGGAAUACCCGCUGAACUUAAGCAUAUCAAUAAGCGGAGGA
rnacentral:misc_RNA from 1 species